AUACGUAGGUGACAAGCGUUAUCCGGAUUUACUGGGCGUAAAGGGCGUGUAGGCGGUCUUGCAAGUCAGAAGUGAAAUUCCUGAGCUCAACUCGGGCGCUGCUUCUGAAACUGCAGGACUUGAGUGCUGGAGGGGAUAGCGGAAUUCCUAGUGGAGCGGUACAGUGCGCAGAUAUUAGGAAGAACACCGGUGGCGAAGGCGGCUAUCUGGACAGUAACUGACGCUGAGGCGCGAAAGCGUGGGGAGCAAACAGGAUUAGAUACCCUGGUAGUCCACACUGUAAACGAUGAAUGCUAGGUGUAAGAGGUAUCGACCCCUUUUGUGCCGGAGUCAACACAAUAAGCAUUCCGCCUGGGGAGUACGGCCGCAAGGUUGAAACUCAAAUGAAUUGACGGGG
rnacentral:rRNA from 1 species